rnacentral:rRNA from 1 species
AAAUUGAAGAGUUUGAUCAUGGCUCAGAUUGAACGCUGGCGGCAGGCCUAACACAUGCAAGUCGAACGGUAACAGAAAGCAGCUUGCUGCUUUGCUGACGAGUGGCGGACGGGUGAGUAAUGUCUGGGAAACUGCCUGAUGGAGGGGGAUAACUACUGGAAACGGUAGCUAAUACCGCAUAACGUCGCAAGACCAAAGAGGGGGACCUUCGGGCCUCUUGCCAUCGGAUGUGCCCAGAUGGGAUUAGCUUGUUGGUGGGGUAACGGCUCACCAAGGCGACGAUCUCUAGCUGGUCUGAGAGGAUGACCAGCCACACUGGAACUGAGACACGGUCCAGACUCCUACGGGAGGCAGCAGUGGGGAAUAUUGCACAAUGGGCGCAAGCCUGAUGCAGCCAUGCCGCGUGUAUGAAGAAGGCCUUCGGGUUGUAAAGUACUUUCAGCGGGGAGGAAGGGAGUAAAGUUAAUACCUUUGCUCAUUGACGUUACCCGCAGAAGAAGCACCGGCUAACUCCGUGCCAGCAGCCGCGGUAAUACGGAGGGUGCAAGCGUUAAUCGGAAUUACUGGGCGUAAAGCGCACGCAGGCGGUUUGUUAAGUCAGAUGUGAAAUCCCCGGGCUCAACCUGGGAACUGCAUCUGAUACUGGCAAGCUUGAGUCUCGUAGAGGGGGGUAGAAUUCCAGGUGUAGCGGUGAAAUGCGUAGAGAUCUGGAGGAAUACCGGUGGCGAAGGCGGCCCCCUGGACGAAGACUGACGCUCAGGUGCGAAAGCGUGGGGAGCAAACAGGAUUAGAUACCCUGGUAGUCCACGCCGUAAACGAUGUCGACUUGGAGGUUGUGCCCUUGAGGCGUGGCUUCCGGAGCUAACGCGUUAAGUCGACCGCCUGGGGAGUACGGCCGCAAGGUUAAAACUCAAAUGAAUUGACGGGGGCCCGCACAAGCGGUGGAGCAUGUGGUUUAAUUCGAUGCAACGCGAAGAACCUUACCUGGUCUUGACAUCCACGGAAGUUUUCAGAGAUGAGAAUGUGCCUUCGGGAACCGUGAGACAGGUGCUGCAUGGCUGUCGUCAGCUCGUGUUGUGAAAUGUUGGGUUAAGUCCCGCAACGAGCGCAACCCUUAUCCUUUGUUGCCAGCGGUCCGGCCGGGAACUCAAAGGAGACUGCCAGUGAUAAACUGGAGGAAGGUGGGGAUGACGUCAAGUCAUCAUGGCCCUUACGACCAGGGCUACACACGUGCUACAAUGGCGCAUACAAAGAGAAGCGACCUCGCGAGAGCAAGCGGACCUCAUAAAGUGCGUCGUAGUCCGGAUUGGAGUCUGCAACUCGACUCCAUGAAGUCGGAAUCGCUAGUAAUCGUGGAUCAGAAUGCCACGGUGAAUACGUUCCCGGGCCUUGUACACACCGCCCGUCACACCAUGGGAGUGGGUUGCAAAAGAAGUAGGUAGCUUAACCUUCGGGAGGGCGCUUACCACUUUGUGAUUCAUGACUGGGGUGAAGUCGUAACAAGGUAACCGUAGGGGAACCUGCGGUUGGAUCACCUCCUUACCUUAAAGAAGC